UAUUUGAUCCUACAUUCGAUAUCCAUUCUUUAAGGGUUUAAUUUGUCCUCACCAACGUAUGAUUACAUAUAUUAUCAGAAAAUAAUAUAUUAGUAGAUAAGAUAUAUAUAUUAUAUAUAUAUAUAUAUAUUAUUUCUUUGUUUUAUGUGAUACAUAACCUUACAAGUUUGCUAGAUGAUCGAGAAAUAAAGCCUGAUGUGAGGAUUGCAACAUUGCAAUGGCAAUGUGUGAGUAUGUGACCCUUCAUUUGUAAGUCCCAUACAUUAAUACAAAUGAAGUGUAAGAUUGGCAAUGUGCAGGUUUCUUAUUAAAUCUAUGCCUUAUAUCUCUAAUAACUGUAACUGAUACUACAUACAGCUAUACAUAUAUGUGAUGAGAAAUUGUAUCUUUGCAGUGAAAAAGUAGGGAUAAUUAUCUUGGCUGACUUGUCUACAGAUUUGCUAAUGAGCAUAGUCACAUGAUUACCUCUUGAUCACUACUUCAUUCACUCUUGUAAAAGAAACAUUAUCUAUUUAUCUCUACACUAGUCAUUCCUGCACAAGAACUUUUCCUAAUCGUAACUUUUGUCUUUUGGUCUGCAGUCUGCACUACCUUUGCUUCUUUUUUUCUUCCGAGUAUAACUCAUCAACUGCCACAUUUCCAAGCAGCUAAGUAACA
rnacentral:lncRNA from 1 species